rnacentral:rRNA from 1 species
GAUGAACGCUGGCGGCGUGCCUAAUACAUGCAAGUAGAACGCUGAAGGAAGGAGCUUGCUCUUUCCGGAUGAGUUGCGAACGGGUGAGUAACGCGUAGGUAACCUGCCUGGUAGCGGGGGAUAACUAUUGGAAACGAUAGCUAAUACCGCAUAACAGUAGAUGUUGCAUGAUAUCUACUUAAAAGGUGCAAUUGCACCACUACCAGAUGGACCUGCGUUGUAUUAGCUAGUUGGUGAGGUAACGGCUCACCAAGGCGACGAUACAUAGCCGACCUGAGAGGGUGAUCGGCCAAAACGGGACUGAGAAACGGCCCAGACUCCUACGGGAGGCAGCAGUAGGGAAUCUUCGGCAAUGGACGGAAGUCUGACCGAGCAACGCCGCGGGAGUGAAGAAGGGUUUCGGAUCGUAAAGCUCUGUUGUAAGAGAAGAACGAGUGUGAGAGUGGAAAGUUCACACUGUGACGGUAUCUUACCAGAAAGAGACGGCUAACUACGUG